UACGAAGGGGGGCUAGCGUUGCUCGGAAUCACUGGGCGUAAAGGGUGCGUAGGCGGGUCUUUUAAGUCAGGGGUGAAAUCCUGGAGCUCAACUCCAGAACUGCCUUUGAUACUGAAGAUCUUGAGUUCGGGAGAGGUGAGUGGAACUGCGAGUGUAGAGGUGAAAUUUCGUAGAUAUUCGCAAGAACACCAGUGGCGAAGGCGGCUCACUGGCCCCGAUACUGACGCUGAGGCACGAAAAGCGUGGGGGAGCAAACAGG
rnacentral:rRNA from 1 species